rnacentral:rRNA from 1 species
CGACCGGCGCACGGUGCGUAACGCGUAUGCAACCUACCUUUAACAGGGGAUAACACUGAGAAAUUGGUACUAAUACCCCAUAAUAUCAUAGAAGGCAUCUUUUAUGGUUGAAAAUUCCGAUGGUUAGAGAUGGGCAUGCGUUGUAUUAGCUAGUUGGUGAGGUAACGGCUCACCAAGGCAACGAUACAUAGGGGGACUGAGAGGUUAACCCCCCACAUUGGUACUGAGACACGGACCAA